GUGCUUCAUUUUGGCAGCUCAUAUACUAAAACUGGAAUAAUAUAAAGAUUAGCUUGUCCCUUUGCAAGGAUGACAUGAAAAUUCAUGAAUCAUUCCAAACACAC
ensembl:snRNA U6 U6 spliceosomal RNA